CCUACGGGUGGCAGCAGUGGGGAAUAUUGCACAAUGGGCGCAAGCCUGAUGCAGCCAUGCCGCGUGUGUGAAGAAGGCCUUCGGGUUGUAAAGCACUUUCAGCGGGGAGGAAGGCGGUGAGGUUAAUAACCUCAUCGAUUGACGUUACCCGCAGAAGAAGCACCGGCUAACUCCGUGCCAGCAGCCGCGGUAAUACGGAGGGUGCAAGCGUUAAUCGGAAUUACUGGGCGUAAAGCGCACGCAGGCGGUCUGUCAAGUCGGAUGUGAAAUCCCCGGGCUCAACCUGGGAACUGCAUUCGAAACUGGCAGGCUAGAGUCUUGUAGAGGGGGGUAGAAUUCCAGGUGGAGCGGUGAAAUGCGUAGAGAUCUGGAGGAAUACCGGUGGCGAAGGCGGCCCCCUGGACAAAGACUGACGCUCAGGUGCGAAAGCGUGGGGAGCAAACAGGAUUAGAUACCCGUGUAGUC
rnacentral:rRNA from 1 species